UAAGAAUUUAAAAGUCGAACAGACUUAUUUCUAAAAGGGCUGCUUCUUAAAAUUUUCUUAAUUCAACAUCGAGGUCGCAAAAUAUAAUAUAGAUAUGAACUCCCCAUUAAAAUUACGCUGUUAUCCCUGAGGUAACUUAAUCUUAUUAUCCAUUUUUAAGGAUCUUAAAUGACAUUCACAAAUGAAGCAAAAAACUAAAGUUAAUUUAUUUAGUCACCACCCCAGCAAAAUAUAAAAUUAGUAUUAAAAAAUAUUAAACUAAAACUUAAUAAUACAAAAUUAUAUGAAGUUCUACAGGGUCUUAUCGUCCCAAUAAGACAUUAAAGCAUUUUAACUUUAAAUUUAAAUUUUAACAUUUAAAAAAAUAAAACAUAAUUCUCAUACAUCCAUUCAUACAAGCUUCCAAUUAAGAAACUAGUUACUAUGCUACCUUUGCACAGUCAAAAUACUGCAGCCAUUUAGAAGUUUAAACCAUAGGGCAGAAGAUACUUUUUAUAUAAACA
rnacentral:rRNA from 1 species